rnacentral:sRNA from 1 species
AACCUCCGGGGGCAAGAGGUUCGACUCGAGCGAAGCGAGAGAACGUUGCGUCAGCAACGGCCCGCAGUGGCAAGUCAUCCUCUGUCACCGGCAG